rfam:Actinomyces sp. oral taxon 180 str. F0310 genomic scaffold SCAFFOLD1, whole genome shotgun sequence.
UCGGUCGGCCGGGCGGCCGCGCGCGGAAACGCUCGAGGAACGUCCGGGCUCCGAAGGGCAGGGUGAUGGCUAACAGCCACCCGGGGUAACCCGCGGGACAGUGCCACAGAAAACAAACCACCGUCGCGUUGCGUGGCGGUAAGGGUGAAAAGGUGAGGUAAGAGCUCACCAGCGGCGCGGGUGACUGCGUCGGCUUGGUAAACCCCACCCGGAGCAAGACCGAGCAGCAGGUAGGGCGGCCCGUCCAAUGCCUGCGGGUAGGUUGCUGGAGACCGUCGGCAACGACGGCCCUAGAUAGAUGGUCGCCGCCGCGCUUGUCCGGAGACGGGGCGCGGGACAGAACCCGGCGUACAGGCCGACCGAUCCG